rnacentral:rRNA from 1 species
AUGCAAGUCGAGCGGAAAGGCCCUUCGGGGUACUCGAGCGGCGAACGGGUGAGUAACACGUGAGCAACCUGCCCUAGGCUUUGGGAUAACCCCGGGAAACCGGGGCUAAUACCGAAUAGGACCUCUGACCGCAUGGUUGGUGGUGGAAAGUUUUUCGGCCUGGGAUGGGCUCGCGGCCUAUCAGCUUGUUGGUGGGGUGAUGGCCUACCAAGGCGACGACGGGUAGCCGGCCUGAGAGGGCGACCGGCCACACUGGGACUGAGACACGGCCCAGACUCCUACGGGAGGCAGCAGUGGGGAAUAUUGCACAAUGGGCGGAAGCCUGAUGCAGCGACGCCGCGUGAGGGAUGACGGCCUUCGGGUUGUAAACCUCUUUCAGCAGGGACGAAGCGUAAGUGACGGUACCUGCAGAAGAAGCGCCGGCCAACUACGUGCCAGCAGCCGCGGUAAUGCA